UACGAAGGGGGCUAGCGUUGCUCGGAAUCACUGGGCGUAAAGCGCACGUAGGCGGACUCUUAAGUCGGUGGUGAAAUCCUGGAGCUCAACUCCAGAACUGCCUUCGAUACUGAGAGUCUCGAGUCCGGGAGAGGUGAGUGGAAUUCCUGGUGUAGCGGUGAAAUGCGCAGAUAUCAGGAGGAACACCAAUGGCGAAGGCAGCUCGCUGGGACGGUACUGACGCUGAGACGCGAAAGCGUGGGGGAGCAAACAGG
rnacentral:rRNA from 1 species